rnacentral:lncRNA from 1 species
UCAUCUCUAAAAUGAUGUUCCACAAUUAUUUUACAAUUCUUUAUUUGAAUUAGUCACCAAACUUGGAACACAAAAUAACAUUUAGGUUUAGUUACUUCAUCUAUCCAACAAAGCAACACAUCCUUCUCCUUUGUAACUUCCUGGUGUCCUAAACCUUAAAAGGACACUGGCACUUGUUAGGUAGGGCACUCCAUCCAAAUCUGAAAUCCUCUCCAAGUCUUAUCAUGGCACUGAGUUUGUGUCCCUCCGUGCCACUGAAGAGUUCCCUUCCUAGAGCAGAAAGAUCAUAUCCUUUGUUCCCUCGAUUACUUCCAUUAGGCUUUAGAAGCACAUGGAUAAUGUUGAAUUGUCCAUAAUGAAUGUCUAGUGCAGCAUCCCCUUCAUUCCAAAUGGAUGCGAACACUGUCCUCGAAACAAAGCUCUCACUCCUUCGGGGAAUGGGUCAUUUAAUCUCAAGAGUUUAAGCUGUCAAUGUCAAGAAGGUGCAUUUCAAUACAGAAUUCACUGAAGCAAGCAACAAAUUUAAAUGGAUCAUCUCAUCCCAACUCCUGUGACUAAUUCCCAACCACAACUUAGAUUCAUGAAAAAAAGUCAUCUUUCCUAUAACCAGUUUCUAGAUAGUGUCUGAGUAUAUAAGGAGGGAACAGGAUAACUGAAAGAUGACAGGACCAUCAGUCAGGACUUCCAGACUCCAGCUCCAGUUCUACUAUCGAUCAGUUCUAAAAUCUUGGGACUUCAAGUUCUUUGUGGCUCAGCGUUCUUACAUGUUAAAAGAAGGAAAAUGGUGAAGUUUAUUUCUAAGAGAACUUUAUCUUCACAUGACCCAUCUGAGUAACAAUAAGUUGAGGAGGGUUAUUCAGCUGUUCAGAGAAAAAAAAAUGACACCUUUUAUCUCUAUAUCACAAGAUCAUAGCACAGUAGGAAAAAAGUCUCCUGACAUCAGCUACCUAAGACGAAAGCACACCCAGCAAGAGGAAACAGACACAAGGCCAGUCAAGAAAGGGUCAGGAGUUUACUCUCAGUAUAUUCUCAACCUGAGACCCUUCCUUCUUCCUGCUCAGCUCUGCACCUUUACCUUACUCACAAAUUCUUCAUCCGUUUUUGUAAUUCUCUAGACUGUUUCUCUAUCCUUAUUUCACUCUUCCCAGGUAAUAAUCAGAUGGUCUGGGACCUAGAACCCUAAGAGGUGAGACAGACAAAUAGAGUCUGUCUCACAUUAGUUCUGCAAUCUCUGUCAAAUUACCUAAGUACUCAGUUUUAAUAAGAUAGAGAUAAAAAUAAAGACCUCACAGUGUUAUGUUUACUAAAUGAGUUAACAGAUAUAUAAUAUGUAGCACAUUGUCUGGAUAUUAGCAGGCUGUCACUAAGAGGAAAAGAGUACCAUAUUAAUAAACAAGUGGUAAAUAAUGCUUAAUUUCAUCAGUAACAAAAGAAAUACAAUAUACUACUUUUUACCAGUCAUAUUACCAAAGAUGAGAGUGAUUAUGCCCCAAAUAGUUUUAGAUAUGAGACAUAAACAUACAGAGCUAUGUUUAAAAAUCUGGAAUAGUUAUCUUUGUGUUGAGGCAAAAGUAAGGGGAAAGAAACAAAUGGGGAAUCAGAAAUAAUUUUUUUAAUGAUCCAAUACCAAUUUCUUGACAAACUGCCUGAAUAACCCAAUUCUGCUCUCAACAUGAUAUAGCUCUUUGAAUCCUGUAUCCAUUGUUCAAACCAUUAAUGAGAGUUUAAUCUGAGUUGUGUCAGAAAAUAUUCAUCGCAUCUCCUGUGUGUCCAGGUCUUAGCUAUGUAUUAUGGUGAAUAUACACCUGAGACUGGGUAACUUAGAAAGAAAAGAGGUUUAGUUGACUCACAGCUCAGCAUGACUGGGGAGACCUCAGGAAACUUGCAAUCAUGGUGGAAGGGGGAGCAAGCACAUCCUCCUUCACAUGGCAGCAGGAAACAGAAGAAUGAGAACUGAGUGAAGUGGGAAGCCCGUUAUAAAAUCAUCAGAUCUCGUG